UGGGGAAUUUUGGACAAUGGGCGCAAGCCUGAUCCAGCAAUGCCGCGUGAGUGAAGAAGGCCUUCGGGUUGUAAAGCUCUUUUGUCAGGGAAGAAACGGUGAGGGCUAAUAUCCUUUGCUAAUGACGGUACCUGAAGAAUAAGCACCGGCUAACUACGUGCCAGCAGCCGCGGUAAUACGUAGGGUGCAAGCGUUAAUCGGAAUUACUGGGCGUAAAGCGUGCGCAGGCGGUUAUGUAAGUCAGAUGUGAAAUCCCCGGGCUCAACCUGGGAAUGGCAUUUGAGACUGCAUGGCUAGAGUGUGUCAGAGGGGGGUAGAAUUCCACGUGUAGCAGUGAAAUGCGUAGAGAUGUGGAGGAAUACCGAUGGCGAAGGCAGCCCCCUGGGAUAACACUGACGCUCAUGCACGAAAGCGUGGGGAGCAAACA
rnacentral:rRNA from 1 species